UACGAAGGGGGCUAGCGUUGUUCGGAAUUACUGGGCGUAGAGCGCGCGUAGGCGGUUUUGCAAGCCAGAGGUGAAAUGCCUGAGCUUAACUUAGGAAUUGCCUUUGGGACUGCGAGGCUUUGAGGACGAGAGAGGUGAGUGGAAUUCCCAGUGUAGAGGUGAAAUUCGUAGAUAUUGGGAAGAACACCGGCGGCGAAGGCGGCUCACUGGCUCGUUUCGGACGCUGUAGCGCGAAAGCGUGGGGAUCAAACAGG
rnacentral:rRNA from 1 species